CCUACGGGAGGCAGCAGUAGGGAAUCUUCCGCAAUGGACGAAAGUCUGACGGAGCAACGCCGCGUGAGUGAUGAAGGCUUUCGGGUCGUAAAACUCUGUUGUUAGGGAAGAACAAGUGCUAGUUGAAUAAGCUGGCACCUUGACGGUACCUAACCAGAAAGCCACGGCUAACUACGUGCCAGCAGCCGCGGUAAUACGUAGGUGGCAAGCGUUAUCCGGAAUUAUUGGGCGUAAAGCGCGCGCAGGUGGUUUCUUAAGUCUGAUGUGAAAGCCCACGGCUCAACCGUGGAGGGUCAUUGGAAACUGGGAGACUUGAGUGCAGAAGAGGAAAGUGGAAUUCCAUGUGUAGCGGUGAAAUGCGUAGAGAUAUGGAGGAACACCAGUGGCGAAGGCGACUUUCUGGUCUGUAACUGACACUGAGGCGCGAAAGCGUGGGGAGCAAACAGGAUUAGAUACCCUGGUAGUCCACGCCGUAAACGAUGAGUGCUAAGUGUUAGAGGGUUUCCGCCCUUUAGUGCUGAAGUUAACGCAUUAAGCACUCCGCCUGGGGAGUACGGCCGCAAGGCUGAAACUCAAAGGAAUUGACGG
rnacentral:rRNA from 4 species